GACGAACGCUGGCGGCGUGCUUAACACAUGCAAGUCGAGCGGAGCGGCGAACGGGCGGGUAACGCGUGAGUAACUGCCCCCCUCUUUGGGAUAACAGUUGACAACUGCUGCUAAUACCGGAUAGUGGGGGAUGGCUCGGGGCCUAUCAGCUUGUUGGUUGGGUAGUGGCCUACCAAGGCGACGCACGGUAGCCGGCCUGGGAGGGGGGACGGCCACAUGACGCUGAGAUACGGCCCAAAGUGCUAUGGGAGGCAGCGGUGGGGAGUAUUGCACAGUGGGGGAGAGCCUAAUGCAACAACGCCGCGGGCGGAAUGAAGGCCUUGCGGUGGUGAACGGAUUUCAGCCAAUACGCGGUACUAGCAGAAGAAGCACCGGCUAACUACGUGCCAGCAGCCGCGGUAAUAC
rnacentral:rRNA from 1 species